UAAAAAGGAACUCGGUCUAAAAACAUCGCAUCCUGCGGUAACGGCUAAGUAACCAACAUCGUGUUGG
rnacentral:sRNA from 1 species